CCUACGGGAGGCAGCAGUGGGGAAUAUUGCGCAAUGGGCGAAAGCCUGACGCAGCGACGCCGCGUGAGGGAUGAAGGUCUUCGGAUCGUAAACCUCUGUCAGCAGGGAAGAACGGUCACUGUGCUAAUCAGCAGUGAAUUGACGGUACCUGCAAAGGAAGCACCGGCUAACUCCGUGCCAGCAGCCGCGGUAAUACGGAGGGUGCGAGAGUUAAUCGGAAUUACUGGGCGUAAAGCGCUCGUAGGCGGUAUGUCAAGUCAAGGGUGAAAUCCCCGCGCUCCACGUGGGAACUGCCUUUGACACUGGCAAACUGGUGUGUGUGAGAGGAUAGUGGAAUUCCAGGUGUAGGAGUGAAAUACGUAGAUAUCUGGAGGAACAGCAGUGGCGAAGGCGACUAUCUGGCACAUAACUGACGCUGAGGAGCGAAAGCGUGGGUAGCAAACAGGAUUAGAUACCCCAGUAGUC
rnacentral:rRNA from 1 species